rnacentral:lncRNA from 1 species
ACCAGAGCAUCUGUCGAGGACUGUAGAAACCUAAAAGCAAUUUUUGACUGCUACGUAGCUCCCUCAAGACAAAUCUUUAACUAUGAAAAAUCUUCAAUGUUCUUCAGUUGGAAGCUUCAAGCUGAGCAAAUAAUAACCAAAGAAGAUAUCUUCCAAUUGAAUAUGGUGUCUAGAUAUAAAAAAUAUUUAGGAUUACUAUUUAUGAUUGGAAGGAAAAAGAUAAGUUUCUUUAAUGAAGUGAAGCUUUUAAGUCUUUAGUAAGAUCUCAAAUUGGCAACACUAAGCUAAUCACCAGUAGCGGCAAAGAAGUGUUAAUAAAGGUUGUGGCUUAGUGGGCUUGGCAAUUUGGGGGCUUAAGUUAGGCUUUUUCAAGUUCAAGCCCAAGUACUUAGAAACAGGCUUAGGCCCUCUAAAUACCCAUCCAGGCUUAAGUGGGUCGAGCUUAGGCUGGGUUUGGGCUUUUAUCAAACUUUUAGAUAAAUUUUUAAUAAAUCGACAAUGAUGCUUUCUUAUUUAAAAAUUGAAUGUUGUGGUCCUUCUUUCAAAAAUCAACACUGAUGCUUCACAUUAAUCCUCUAGUUGGAUCCAAUAUUGACUUGUCAGUUCAUGUACUUAUAAUCCUAAUCAAAUAUGAGAAAAUAAAACUAUUUACCAAAUUUGCAUAGUUUUACCAUAAGGUCAUUAGCAUUUCGGGCAUGGAGUAAGCCUAUUAUUGUGAAGAUCGAUUAUUGCAAAUUGUAAAGAAGAAUUACAACUUUAUAAUCACAUUAAUAUAUAUACACACACACACACACACACAUAAAUUAAAUUUUCACAAGAAAUGAAAAAAUCGAAACUAGCACUUUUUUUGUACCUCAAAGAUCACGUGAGUUCGAGACUUCGAGUGGGUUCGUUGCUGCUGUGUCCAUGCGUGCGUUGUGCUGCAGGCCCUGCUUGUGUUAGGUUCGUUGUUGUGUCGUGUGCUGGGCUCACGACUCACAUGGCUACUUGUUGCCUGCUGCAAUGAUUUUCUAACUUGCGUGCUGGGCUCAUGACGAUCAGUGGAGAUAAUGGCUGUGAGACAGUGGGGGUGUGGCUGUCGGCUGCUGGUGGUAGGCGAUUGCUGUGCUGCAGUGCUUUCGUUUCACUUGUUUAAUUUAGUGUUGGAGAUAUGGUUGCCUG